rnacentral:lncRNA from 1 species
CGCCCGGCGUGUUUGGAGUUCGGAUAGAUCAGACUCUUCGUUGGCCUCGUUUUUAGGUGUUUGAUCCGUGACGUUUCGUCGAAAAAUCACAAGCGCGCAUGCCGUAGGUGUUUGCCUGGUUGCAAGAUCUUGCCGAUUUCAACGUUUUUCCACCUCUUCGGUUGGCGUACGCUGAACUGGACCCUCGCAGCAAGAAUGGCACGUGGGAAUUGACACCGCGAUCGUUGAACACAUGGCUGAUCUGCCUCG